UGGGGAAUAUUGGACAAUGGGCGAAAGCCUGAUCCAGCCAUGCCGCGUGAGUGACGAAGGCCUUAGGGUUGUAAAACUCUUUCGUCGGGGACGAUAAUGACGGUACCCGAAGAAGAAGCUCCGGCUAACUUCGUGCCAGCAGCCGCGGUAAUACGAAGGGAGCUAGCGUUGUUCGGAAUCACUGGGCGUAAAGCGCACGUAGGCGGAUAGUUAAGUCAGGGGUGAAAUCCUGGGGCUCAACCCCAGAACUGCCUUUGAUACUGGCUGUCUCGAGGUCGAGAGAGGUUGGUGGAAUUCCUAGUGUAGAGGUGAAAUUCGUAGAUAUUAGGAAGAACACCAGUGGCGAAGGCGGCCAACUGGCUCGAUACUGACGCUGAGGUGCGAAAGCGUGGGAGCAAACAGGAUUAGAUACCCACGUAGUCCCUGAGCGGGCUGGCAAGGCGCAU
rnacentral:rRNA from 1 species